rnacentral:rRNA from 1 species
CAAUAGCGUAUAUUUAAGUUGUUGCAGUUAAAAAGCUCGUAGUUGGAUUUCGGAUGGGAUUUGCCGGUCCGUCGUUACGAUGUGCACUGGCCAGUCCUAUCUUGUUGUCGGGGACUAGCUCCUUGGAUUCACUUCCUGGGACUAGGAGCUGACGAGGUUACUUUGAGUAAAUUAGAGUGUUCAAAGCAAGCCUACGCUCUGAAUACAUUAGCAUGGAAUAACACGAUAGGACUCUGGCUUAUCUUGUUGGUCUGUGAGACCAGAGUAAUGAUUAAGAGGGACAGUCGGGGACAUUUGUAUUUCAUUGUCAGAGGUGAAAUUCUUGGAUUUAUGAAAGACGAACUUCUGCGAAAGCAUUUGUCAAGGAUGUUUUCAUUAA